CUAGAUCUAGAAUAGAACAGUGACACAGCUUGAAGUGGUCAUCAGUUGAACUGGUCUCUGGGAUGAUGGUGAGAAGGUAAAGACGAUGCUUGGAGGGACUAAUUGAUCUCAGAGCAGUUUAAAGCAGAGGACAGGACUGAUGGAAGGAUGUGGGUUGUGAAUGGCGGCGAUUGUUAGAACCCGCUUUCAGCUGUGACUUGAUCUAGUUCUAGAUGUUCCUCUGGUCAGUUAGUGAAAUAUCCCUCUGCAGAAAUACUCUCCAUAUGAUCUAGGCCAGUUCUGACCACACUGGAUCUCCUCUGUGUUUUUUUAAUCCCAUGUCGGACCGAGCCUCUACAAGCUUUGGGCCGUCAGAAGAUGCUGAUGAGAUCUACAGCGACCAAACCAGAGGAGCAUCAUCUGAGCUGCUGACCUUUACAAAAAACACUGUGGACGUCCAAAAGCAGAACUCCUGUGAGGAACCGGGACCUCCAGGAUGCUGAGGAGCCUCCUAGUCCCCACCUGAGGACGGCACAGAGGAACACACCUGGAGAGAAGCAGGUUGAAUAUGGAAGCAGUGAUCUAGCAGUGGGAUCUCAGUGGAGCAGAGUCCAUCCACACGUGUUUGAAGGAGCUGAAGCAGAGGAUGGAGAACACAGACCACUAAGGAGGAGAAACAUGGCUCCUCUAUUUGUCUCUCCAACAUUCUGGAGUCCUGGACUGAAAAACAUUGAAGACCCCACAACUAAACCAUCAGUCUGCUCCACCCAGAAAGAAGGUAAAGAACCUUUAUUGCUUC